GCAUGUGACCAAAUCUCCCAGAAUGAGCCCAAUUUCAUCAUAUUUCAGAAGCUAUGCAGAGAUGAGCCUGGAUCGUGCUUGGAUGGGCGACCACCGUGCAUAAAAACAGGCACUGUAGGCU
rnacentral:rRNA from 1 species